CAGCAGUGGGGAAUAUUGCACAAUGGGCGCAAGCCUGAUGCAGCCAUGCCGCGUGUGUGAAGAAGGCCUUCGGGUUGUAAAGCCAUUUCAGUUGUGAGGAAGGUGGUGUCGUUAAUAGCGGCAUCAUUUGACGUUAGCAACAGAAGAAGCACCGGCUAACUCCGUGCCAGCAGCCGCGGUAAUACGGAGGGUGCGAGCGUUAAUCGGAAUUACUGGGCGUAAAGCGCAUGCAGGUGGUUUGUUAAGUCAGAUGUGAAAGCCCGGGGCUCAACCUCGGAACUGCAUUUGAAACUGGCAGACUAGAGUACUGUAGAGGGGGUAGAAUUUCAGGUGUAGCGGUGAAAUGCGUAGAGAUCUGAAGGAAUACCGGUGGCGAAGGCGGCCCCCUGGACAGAUACUGACACUCAGAUGCGAAAGCGUGGGGAGCAAACAGGAUUAGAUACCCUGGUAG
rnacentral:rRNA from 1 species